rnacentral:rRNA from 1 species
CAGUAGCCGCGGGAAUACGAAGGGGGCUAGCGUUGCUCGGAAUUACUGGGCGUAAAGCGUGCGCAGGCGGUUUGUUAAGACAGAUGUGAAAUCCCCGGGCUCAACCUGGGAACUGCAUUUGUGACUGGCAAGCUAGAGUGUGGCAGAGGGGGGUGGAAUUCCGCGUGUAGCAGUGAAAUGCGUAGAUAUGCGGAGGAACACCGAUGGCGAAGGCAAUCCCCUGGGCCUGUACUGACGCUCAUGCACGAAAGCGUGGGGAGCAAGCAGGAUUAGAGACCCCUGUAGUCCCUGUCUCUUAUAC